AUGUCGAAGCCGUGUGACACCACCACAGCCGGAGUUGCCGUGCGUCAUCGUAGCCAUGCUCUCGCUGUGCAGCGCAGCCCCGCUGCCUCGGCCUCCAUGCGAAAAUAUAUAAUAGAACACCUGCACCCAGGCCCUUCCUAUCUAGCCAUCCAUUCUGCGCUUCGCGAUUCGUGCAAACACAUUUCUCUUUUUUGUUUCUCUUGCAUAAAACAUGUUUUGAAGUUCAAACCUUUGCAGUGUGGCAAAGCUUUCUAUCUAGAAUCUAGGAUAAAUCUUUCAGAUUUUUUGGUCAAAAAUAAAUAUACAAAAAAUGUUUAUUUUUGA
rnacentral:rRNA from 1 species